rnacentral:rRNA from 1 species
CCCUUAGAUGUUCUGGGCCGCACGCGCGCUACACUGAUGCAUUCAACGAGCCUAUCCUUGACCGACAGGUCCGGGUAAUCUUUGAAUCUGCAUCGUGACGGGGAUGGAUUAUUGCAAUUAUUAAUCUUCAACGAGGAAUGCCCAGUAGGCGCAAGUCAUCAGCUUGCGUCGAUUACGUCCCUGCCCUUUGUACACACCGCCCGUCGCUCCUACCGAUUGGGUGUGCUGGUGAAAUGUUCGGAUCGGCCGUUUGUCGCGGUUUCCGCGUCAUGUGGCUGAGAAGUUCAUUAAACCCUCCCACCUAGAGGAAGGAGAAGUCGUAACA